rnacentral:rRNA from 1 species
UGGGGAAUAUUGGACAAUGGGGGAACCCGAUGAUCCAGCCAUGCCGCGCUGUGUGAAGAAGGCCUUAUGGUUGUAAAGCACUUUAAGCGAGGAGGAGGCUACUAGUAUUAAUACUACUGGAUAGUGGACGUUACUCGCAGAAUAAGCACCGGCUAACUCUGUGCCAGCAGCCGCGGUAAUACAGAGGGUGCGAGCGUUAAUCGGAUUUACUGGGCGUAAAGCGUGCGUAGGCGGCCAUUAAGUCAAUGUGAAUCCCGAGCUUAACUUGGGAAUUGCAUUCGAUACUGGAUGGCUAGAGUAUGGGAGAGGAUGGUAGAAUUCCAGGUGUAGCGGUGAAAUGCGUAGAGAUCUGGAGGAAUACCGAUGGCGAAGGCAGCCAUCUGGCCUAUACUGACGCUGAGGUACGAAAGCAUGGGG